CCUGCCCCAGCUCCGUGUUGCAGGCGUGGCUGCAGUGCCAUGGCUGUGUCUUUUGGUGGCAGACAGGAACAGGCGAGGUCUUCCCUGGUGCUCCGAGCCCUGUGAGCUCUCAGGAUUGCUCAACAACCUGACACG
ensembl:snoRNA